UACGGGGGGGGCAAGCGUUGUUCGGAAUUACUGGGCGUAAAGGGCUCGUAGGUGGCCAACUAAGUCGGACGUGAAAUCCCUCAGCUUAACUGGGGAACUGCGUCCGAUACUGGAUGGCUUGAGUUUGGGAGAGGGAUGCGGAAUUCCAGGUGUAGCGGUGAAAUGCGUAGAUAUCUGGAGGAACACCGGUGGCGAAGGCGGCAUCCUGGACCAAUUCUGACGCUGAGGAGCGAAAGCUAGGGGAGCAAACGGG
rnacentral:rRNA from 1 species